UCGGAAUGACUGGGCGUAAAGCGCACGCAGGCGGUCAAUUAAGUUAGAUGUGAAAUCCCCGGGCUCAACCUGGGAACGGCAUCUAAGACUGGUUGACUGGAGUCUCGUAGAGGGGGGUAGAAUUCCAUGUGUAGCGGUGAAAUGCGUAGAGAUGUGGAGGAAUACCGGUGGCGAAGGCGGCCCCCUGGACGAAGACUGACGCUCAGGUGCGAAAGCGUGGGGAGCAAACAGGAUUAGAUACCCUGGUAGUCCACGCUGUAAACGAUGUCGAUUUGGAGGUUGUGGCCCUGAGCUGUGGCUUCCGAAGCUAACGCGUUAAAUCGACCGCCUGGGGAGUACGGCCGCAAGGUUAAAACUCAAAUGAAUUGACGGGGGCCCGCACAAGCGGUGGAGCAUGUGGUUUAAUUCGAUGCAACGCGAAGAACCUUACCUACUCUUGACAUCCUCAGAAUUUGCUGGAGACAGCGAAGUGCCUUCGGGAACUGAGAGACAGGUGCUGCAUGGCUGUCGUCAGCUCGUGUUGUGAAAUGUUGGGUUAAGUCCCGCAACGAGCGCAACCCUUAUCCUUUGUUGCCAGCACGUCGAGGUGGGAACUCAAAGGAGACUGCCGGUGAUAAACCGGAGGAAGGUGGGGAUGACGUCAAGUCAUCAUGGCCCUUACGAGUAGGGCUACACACGUGCUACAAUGGCGGAUACAAAGUGAAGCGACCUCGCGAGAGCAAGCGGAACACACAAAGUCUGUCGUAGUCCGGAUUGGAGUCUGCAACUCGACUCCAUGAAGUCGGAAUCGCUAGUAAUCGUAGAUCAGCAUGCUACGGUGAAUACGUUCCCGGGCCUUGUACACACCGCCCGUCACACCAUGGGAGUGGGUUGCAAAAGAAGUCGGUAGCUUAACCUUUUUGGAGGGCGCUGACCACUUUGUGGCUCAUGACUGGGGUGAAGUCGUAACAAGGUAAC
rnacentral:rRNA from 1 species